UAGGCUCAUUCAAUGUCUGGAGCACGCGUCGGCCACUCCACCUCGGGCGCUCUGAAGCCGGCCGCAUGGAGACUGGGGGACGGUGGUAGGAUGGUCCUAGACCCCUUCCCUCUGUUUCUGCAACCUUGGUGAAUUGAAAAGGGAUCAAUAUCCUUUAUCAGCUCUACCAUACCAGAUGGCCAAGGGACAGUGGAAAAAUGGCAGGGCAGACCCCCUUGGAUUUGCCCACGUGGAGUUUGGAUAUUUACCUGGCUUCUUUGUCAAGUCUUGGGCCUGAUGCAGGUAAGUGUGGCGGGGCCCUUGGAGAUCUGUUGGAACAGUUGCAAGGGGCCACUGUAGACCAGCAAUCGCCAUGGCUGCAGCAUUGGUGCCAAGCAAGAAGUCCCAUCAUGUUCCACACACCAAGGCUGAGGAGGCAUAGAGUUACCUGCUGCAGAUGAGUAGAGUAGCAGCCCUCUGUCCUUCCAUGAAAGGAGACUCCAUGGGAGACAAUGAGGAGAAUGAAGAGAAGGAGGCAGGAUGUGUCAAUGUCCGAUGGACCACCUUACCAUCUGGGGAAGAGGGAUGCCUCUAGUGAGAUGAGAAGGGGAAGAGCAAAAUCCCAAGUCCAAAGGACAUUGUGGAGGAAGGGAUUCUACUGGAGAGGCUCCACGUGGCUCAUCCCUUACAAGGAGAAUUGUGUUGCUGCAGAUGGCGAGCUGGCUCAGUGGGGGAAGAUGCUAGCCAUCAAGCCCCAUGACCUCAGUUUGAUUCCCUGGGACCCACACAGUGGGAGAACUGACUCCUGCAAGAUGUUCUCUGAUUUCCUCCACAUAGACAAAAAGUGAGGAAAUUCUUGCUAACUCUCUUAGUUCAGCCCACAAUCCUCCCAUCCUGCUAAUUAUUCCUAAGUUGAAAAUUAUCAGAAAAGAAGUUAUGCUUUGACAAGAUUUCAAGAUCCGCACUCAUGGUCCACUCAAAUGAAGCAGGACCUGGAAUUUUUAAACUCUUUGUAUCACAGAUAAAACCCAAUGGCUAAACUUCUUUAUCCGUAGACCUUGAGCUCCAAUUACAUUUUCUUCCUGUCUGUGUUUCUAAGAAAUUGUCAGCCUGUGUAGAUUGCCUCAUAACAAGAGCAGGGCAUUGUUCACUGCAUCGAUUUUGGGGGGCUGAGUUAAGAAUAAUAAUGUUAUCUCUAAACAGGAGACGGGGAAGAAUUCCCUAGUGUUAGGAAGGACUGUGCCAGCACACCCCGUAUAUAGGCUGCUUUUGGUCCUCUUGUGAUUUUGGUCUCUAAAAACACUUGCUCUGAAUCUUAUUUACAUAUCCAACAUCUUCAUUAACUAUUUAUAUAAGCAGAAAAAGUAUUUUCAUAGCAAUUACAAUGAGUUUGAUUACAAAGUUGCCUCUGGUCCUAUAGAUAGCCUACUCAUUUUAAAGUUAAACAGAUGAGAUUCUAAGAAACUCCAAUAUUCAAUGCUAUUUUUUUGAAGAUUUAUUGCAAUAUAACUGCAGAGGGUUAUGAAAAAAAAUAGUAGUCUUCAGAUAACAAAACAAAACAAAACAAAACAAAACAGUAGUUUCCUGUUCAUCCAUAGGCAUUUAUCCUUGGCAGUACUACAGUACAGUUUUACCUACAGCCCAGUGGUACAGGGAUAUGAAGUUCAACCUUAUUAAGGAAAAAGUGGGGUGGAGAGCAAGGUGCCACAGGCUCCUGUGAUCCCCUGAAGAGUCCAGAUCUGCUGUACACAGCAUUAGAUCUAAGAUGGCUCCUGGAACAUGGGAAAGAUAGCAAGAGGAGCCAAGGCCAGGGCAGUGGCAGCUUCUCCCAUCUUCACGGAAGUCCUCAUAGAUGACGAUAUUCCCCUUCCUCCCCUCCCGAGUUACCCCAUCAAGCAGGGCUUCCACAGGGCACAGUGACAGUGUGGCAAGAUAGGAUUGGCUUGAACAGUGUGUAUAAGUCUAUGUGCUACACAAUCAACUCAGAUCUACACCUUG
rnacentral:lncRNA from 1 species